rnacentral:lncRNA from 1 species
ACACGCGGCGCCCCAUUAAAGCGGCCGUCCCGGGCGCGCGCCUCAUUCGAGGCGACGGGCUCCGGGCCCUGAUAGAUGGGGUGCGGGGACGGAGACAAAUGACGGCCUUUGGGCUCGGAAUACCCACCUUUCUGGUAAUGCAGCCCAGCGGGUCCCAGCCUCGUUUUCCAGCCCUCACUCAAAAUGGAGUCGCUCUGGUUCGAACGCCUCUGACAAGUGUGUACCUACGUGUCAGGCCCAUCCUUCCUGCAGGCCUUUGUCUUGGUGUCACCCUGCCUGAGCUGGCCCCAACCACAGUAGCAACAGUGAUGCUGAUGUGUGACUGCUGCCAGGAGCCUGCUCACAUGACCGUGUGGAGAAAGUUCUUUCCCUGAGGACCAUCUGGAGUGGACGCGUGCACUACCCCUCUCUGAAUACACCCUCCCCACGAGGCCCUCUGGAGCAUCCUGUAGAGCCAGCCCCUACCCAGAGACCCUGAGCCCAGAGAAUGCGCUGGGUGGUGAGCCUGGGGACGAAUGCAGAGCCCUAGGUCUCCUCUCCAGAAAGACCGGAUUUUGCCAUGUUGGCCAGGCUGGUCUUGAACUCCUGACCUCAAGUGAUCCACCUGCCUCGGCCUCCCAAAGUGCAGGGAUUACAGGUGUGAGCCACUGCACCCGGCCUCAGGCAGGUAUUUUUACCAGCCGAAUACUCUUGCACUGUGCACUCUUCGUGUUCAUCAUCAGUCCCCCGGAUGGGUGUUUAAGGCAUUUCCAAAGCUCUGUUAUUAAAAACACGAUGCAAUGAGUUUCUUUCAGCAUUUCCCCUUGUUGCCGUGUGAAUGCGUCCGUGGUAUAACUUCCUAAAAGUGGAAUCGCUUGGUCAAAGGGUGGGUGCAUUUAGCAACCUGAUGGCUUUCCAGGAGACAAGUGCUGCCUCCCGGCCACGAGCUUUUAAGAAGAACUGUUGAUGGAACCCGAGCUGGAGUCCCAGGGACCGGGGCGAGUUCUCCAUCCCAGGGGAUUUUCAGAUGGGACACUGGGGAGAAGCUGCCCUGCCCAUCUGAACUCUAUGAUCCCAGUACUAACACUGGUAGCUGUGCCAUCCCCAGUAUAGAGACAGCACCGUGCUCUUGGGAGGGUGAGUCAUUGGCCCCCGGCUGCCCAGCAAACAGCAUGUGACCCCCACUUCCCAGCCAGGCCUGGGUCCUCUUGGGUUCCGAGAUCCCAGCCCCCUGCUGUGAUCCUCAGGGAUCCCUUCUUGACUGGCGUCUCCCAGAGGCACUUGUGUUCCCCCAGAGCUUGCUCUCCACAAGUUUCUGAAACUCAUUGCUGCUGCUGGAGACUCCAUUGGGUCUAGCUCUUGGCUGCUCUGGUUGUGCAAUCACCCGUCUGCACGUUUUUCUUUCGUGCAGAGAAAGAUCUGCCUCAUCUUUCUGCAAGAGCAUCUUGGUAUUUAUACACUUUUUGUCUUGAUUUUACAAUUUUUGGCUGGGCACGGUGGCUUACGCCUGUAAUCCCAACACUUUGGGAGGCUGAGGAGGGUGGAUCAUGAGGUCAGGAGUUCAAGACCAGCCUGGCCAAGAUGGUGAAACCCUGUCUCUACUAAAAAUACAAAAAUUAGCCUGGCGUGGUGGCGGGCACCUGUAAUCCCAGCUACUCGGGAGGCUGAGACAGAGAAUUGCUUGAACCCGGGAGGCGGAGGUUGCAGUGAGCUGAGAUCACACCACUGUGCUCCAGCCUGGGCAACAGAGUGAGACUCCGGCUCGAGAAAAAAAAAUUAUUUCUUGGUUGGGCAAUGUCACUGUUGUUUCUGAAAAAAUACACCCUUAUUGUACCAUAAACUGAUGAGUUGAAGCAACACUGGAAACUACAAGAAAGAAGGUAAAAGUCAUCAACACGCUUCACCUGGAGAUGACUCUGGUUAAUGUCUAGGUGGACGUCCUUCUGCAGAGUGUACACAUUUCGCCCCAUCCCCUCUAAUGACAAUGAAAACCUCUCUGUUUCUUGCUGAAGGUGGGGUGUGUAAGUCACUGGAGUGGAUCUGAGGGCCUGAAAAUCUCCAUCCCCUCCCCUCCCACAGCGUAAACAAACAGCCUCCCAGCACCCCUCCCGCACUGCCAGGUUGGAAGCCACCGCUCCAGCUCCAGGGAGCAAGGCUUGGUGCCCACUAAGCAGGUGCUAAUGAUUCCCCCACUCUCAAAGAAAGUUCCAUUCACUCCCCAAGGUUCCACUCCCCUACCUUCCAGAC